AUUGAACGCUGGCGGCAGGCUUAACACAUGCAAGUCGAGCGGGGUGAUGGUGCUUGCACUAUCACUUAGCGGCGGACGGGUGAGUAAUGCUUAGGAAUCUGCCUAUUAGUGGGGGACAACAUCUCGAAAGGGAUGCUAAUACCGCAUACGUCCUACGGGAGGAAGCAGGGGAUCACUUGUGACCUUGCGCUAAUAGAUGAGCCUAAGUCGGAUUAGCUAGUUGGUGGGGUAAAGGCCUACCAAGGCGACGAUCUGUAGCGGGUCUGAGAGGAUGAUCCGCCACACUGGGACUGAGAGACGGCCCAGACUCCUACGGGAGGCAGCAGUGGGGAAUAUUGGACAAUGGGGGGAACCCUGAUCCAGCCAUGCCGCGUGUGUGAAGAAGGCCUUAUGGUUGUAAAGCACUUUAAGCGAGGAGGAGGCUCUUUUGGUUAAUACCCAAGAUGAGUGGACGUUACUCGCAGAAUAAGCACCGGCUAACUCUGUGCCUGCCGCCGCGGUAA
rnacentral:rRNA from 1 species